UUUUUUACAAAGCUCAUGGCUCUGAAAAGCGAGGUGCGCUAUGAUUGUCCAGUUAACCAGUGCGUGGUGAUUGGUGGAAUAUUGCAAGCGUGUGACAGAAAUGUAACAUCAGGUUCCAAAACAAUUGUACUGACAGGUACGCCCACCUUACUUGCAUAUACAAGGGGUGGUCUUAGUCAAAUCAUACCAUCAGCUGAUGUAGAUUUGUGGGUGUGUGGUUACACGAGGCGUUUCGGGCAGGUCGUGGUGAGCAUUCGCUUUUAGAUAGAAUGCAUCUUUUGUGUCCGACACUUUAAUUUUUGCAAUUUUAAGUGUCUAAUACAUGCAUGGGCAACUUAUAACACAGAAAAACAUGUGUUCUUGCCAUAUAACGAUCAAAACGGCGUAAAUCUCCAAAAGAGAACGAGGGUGCAGCUCAUAACUGAAAUAGUGUCUUCCUAUAGAAUCGUGCAACUGAUUAAUAGAUGCCUUACUCGUCAUUUGGUGGUCGAAUGCAAAACUGACUGUUCCAAAGUUUAAGGGGCACACUCUGUUUGAAUGGGCAUGACGACUCUGAUGGCAGCGGUAAUAAAUUGGCCGAUGACAAUGUAGAAGAAACCCCAUGACUGGCUGUGACAUUAAAUGCUUGAUGUUUUAUUAAUUCUGAGCAGGACGCAAGAUCAUCUGAGACCACUGACACAUCGUUCCUGACGGAGUUUCAACGCACGACCCAGUCUGACUUCUGCAGACGCCUGCAGGUCCUGUUUGAGCAGACAUCUGUGAUCGAUAUCUCACACUGAUGUUGUGAAGCAUAGCCUGAGCAGACCUGCAUCUCACAAUAAAUAAACACAAGUCUGACAGUCCGGUGAAGUGAAAAGAUACAAACCAUUAGCGGCUGUCUGUUGCAAAACGAUGUCUCACAGGAUUCCGUGGCAUUCGUGUUCGUGGACACAAAUUUCCCCUUUCUUCGUGUCACUCAGCAUGAAUUUCAAUCUAAGAAACAUCUGUUUUUUUCUGUCAUCAUUGUCUAGCGCUCUUAAAUGCUUUCCUGUAGCUCAGUAGUAAGAGCAUUGCGUUAACAACGCAAGGUUGUGGGUUCGA